rnacentral:rRNA from 1 species
AUGGCGCCAGAGCGGAGGUGGUCGGGGCUGGCGGCGGCGGCGGACGCGGCGUCGUGGUGCUGCGGGCUGGCGCUGGUGACGCUGCUGCUGGUGUCGUCGCUCCGGGCCGGCGAGGGGGAAGAGAGCGGCGGCGGGGCGGUGGUGGUGCGCGGGGCGCGGAUCGCGGCGGCGCCGCGGCGGCCGUGCGACGAGAUAUACGUGGUGGUGGAGGGGGAGACGCUGCACAGCAUCAGCGACCGGUGCGGCGACCCCUACAUCCUGGAGCACAACCCGCACGUCCACGACCCCGACGACGUCUUCCCGGGCCUCGUCAUCAAGAUCACGCCGCGCGCCGCCGCUGACGGCCGCAAGUGA